GCAUAUCAAUAAGCGGAGGAAAAGAAACCAACAGGGAUUGCCUCAGUAACGGCGAGUGAAGCGGCAACAGCUCAAAUUUGAAAUCUGGUCCCCUCUGGGGGCCCGAGUUGUAAUUUGAAGAGGAUGCUUUUGGCGAGGCGCCUUCCGAGUGCCCUGGAACGGGACGCCACAGAGGGUGAGAGCCCCGUAUGGUAGGACGCCGAGCCUCUGUAAAGCUCCUUCGACGAGUCGAGUAGUUUGGGAAUGCUGCUCAAAAUGGGAGGUAAACCCCUUCUAAAGCUAAAUAUUGGCCAGAGACCGAUAGCGCACAAGUAGAGUGAUCGAAAGAUGAAAAGCACUUUGAAAAGAGAGUUAAACAGCACGUGAAAUUGUUGAAAGGGAAGCGCUUGCGACCAGACUUGCGCCCGUCGGAUCAACCGUCCCUCGUGGGCGGCGCACUCCGGCGGGCUCAGGCCAGCAUCAGUUUUCCCGGGGGGAGAAAGGCGGUGGGAACGUAGCUCUUCGGAGUGUUAUAGCCCGCCGCGUAAUGCCCUCGGGGGGACUGAGGACCGCGCGUAUGCAAGGAUGCUGGCGUAAUGGUCGUCAGCGACCCGUCUUGAAACACGGACCAAGGAGUCGUCCUAAUAUGCGAGUGUACGGGUGUAAAACCCCUGCGCGUAAUGAAAGUGAACGGAGGUGAGAGCUUCGGCGCAUCAUCGACCGAUCCUGAUGUUCUCGGAUGGAUUUGAGUAAGAGCAUAUUGGGCCGGACCCGAAAGAAGGUGAACUAUGCCUGUAUAGGGUGAAGCCAGAGGAAACUCUGGUGGAGGCUCGCAGCGGUUCUGACGUGCAAAUCGAUCGUCAAAUAUGGGCAUGGGGGCGAAAGACUAAUCGAACCUUCUAGUAGCUGGUUUCCG
rnacentral:rRNA from 1 species